rnacentral:rRNA from 1 species
GUUACCUACGGGGGGCAGCAGUGGGGGAUAUUGCACAAUGGGGGGAACCCUGAUGCAGCGACGCCGCGUGGGUGAAGGAGCGUUUCGGCGCGUAAAGCCCUAUCGGCAGGGAAGAAGGAGGACGGUACCUGACUAAGAAGCCCCGGCUAACUACGUGCCAGCAGCCGCGGUAAUACGUAGGGGGCAAGCGUUAUCCGGAUUUACUGGGUGUAAAGGGAGCGUAGACGGCUGUGCAAGUCUGAAGUGAAAGCCCAGGGCUCAACCCUGGGACUGCUUUGGAAACUGUGGAGCUUGAGUGCUGGAGG